CCUUAUUUCUUUUCCCCCAAAACCGCCGAUCCCUACUUGCCUUCCCCGAUCUCCCCUCUUCCUCUUCCUCUCUCUGUUCUCUCGCGGACGGGCGACGCCGAAGCAAGCCGAGAGCUCCGGUGAUCUCCUUCGGCCGGCAUCGACGCCUAGUAAGCCCAGAUCCAGCCGAAGCCUCCUCCUCCUCGCUCUAAUCUUUCUGAAGACUCUCACGGGGACGAACCGACGCCGAGCGUGGACGAGUCGACGCCGACGAUCGCCGGUGUAGAUCUAUCUGCGGAGCUUGCCGGAGAUCAAUCAAGGAGACAAGGAUCAUCUUGAUUUCCUCUGCUCAACCCUUCCCCGAUCUUUCUUCUCAUUUCUGCCGACCCUCUCUCCCCCGAUCCGAUCGCCGGCUUGAAUGCCCUAGGGUUUCGAAGGAAGGAGAGAUCGGAUCCAAUUACGUGCUGUAACCCACAGAUCGGUUCUGGGAUGUUUCCUUCUUUGCUGUGAUUGAGGUUCGGUUGAAGUGGGGGAGGAUUUCAGCAGAGUUGCUGUGGUUUCUUUGAUCCAGCAAGGAAAUUCCUCUCAUUGUGCUGUCGGCAGAGGCUUCAGAUCAGUGAGGACUCUGAUUCGAGACGGGCGUCUCGACUUCGGAUUUGGAUUGUACCUGCUAUUUGAGGCGGGUACCCUUUGACUUAUCUUGUUGAUAUUGUCUUGUGAUAUGUGCAGUUUAUAUAUGUUUACUAGUAAUUGGUAGAUCUUUCUCUUCUCUGGUUAUAGUUUAUUCUAUACCUGUAGGCGAUUAUUAGCGAUUGGUAGUUAGCAUAUUCCCUGGUUUAGUUACUUGAUACUUGAUACAUGUUGCUACGAUUAGCAUCUAUACCUUAGUCUAGCAUGCUUUUCUUUCUUGCUAUGCUUAUCUGUGUUCAUAGAGAUGCAUAUCUAUAGUGCUCUACUCUACUGGAUUAGUUGCUUUACAUGUGUGAUACAUGCUCUUGGAUUCAUGAUACUUACAUCAUUGUUAUAUGUGAUGUCUUUGGA